UACCAUUCUGAAAAUCCUAAGGUCCUUAAGAAUUAUGCUGAAUGUACUUGGCCUGUGCUGUAUAAAUGGAACAACAAAGCUUGGAUGACAGCACUUCUGUUUAUAAUAUGGUUAACUGAGUAUUUGAAACCCACUGUUGAGACCUACUUCUUAGAAAAAAAGAUUGCUUUCAAAAUAUUACUGUUUAUUGACAAUACACCUUGUCACCCAAGAGCUCUGAUAAAGAUGUACAAGAUUCAUGUUAUUUUCAUGUCUGUAUAAUUCAGUAACCAUUCUGCAGCCAUGGAUUAAAGAGGAAUUUUGACUUUUAAGUAUUAUUAUUUAAGAAAUAAAUGUUUAAGGCUAUAGCUGCCAUAGAUAAUGAUUCCUCUGAUGGAUCUGGGGAAAGGAAAUCUAAAGACUUCUGAAAAAGACUCACCAUUCUAGAUUCCAAUAAGAACAUCUGUGAUUCAUGGAAGGAGGUCAAAAUAUCAACAUUAAAAGGAGUUUGGAAGAAGUUGAUUCCAACCUUCAUGGAUGACUUUGAGUGAUUCAAGACUUCAGAGGAGGAAUAACUGAAGCUAUGGUGGAAACAGCGUGAGAAUUAAAGUGGAGCCUGAAGAUGAGACUCAAUUGCUAUAAUCUCCUAAUAAAACUUGAAUGGAUGAGGAAUUAUUUCCUAUGAGUGAGCAAAGAAAAUGGUUUCUUGAGAUGAAAUGUACUCCUGGUAAGGAUGCUGUGAACAUUGGUGAAAUAAUAACAAAGGGUUUAGAAUAUAAUGCUUAAAUGUAACCGAGAAAGCAGUGGCAGAAUUUGAGGGGAUCAACUCCAGUCUUAAAAAAACUUCUACUGUAAGUAAAAUGCUAUCAAACUGCAUCACAUGUUACAGAUAAAUUUUUCAUGAAAGGAAGAGUCAAUGAAUGUGGCAAACUUCAUUGUUCUCUUAUUUUAGGGAAUUGCCACAGCCAUCCCAACCUUCAGCAACCAUCACCCUGAUUUGUCAUUCAGCCAUUAACAUUAAGGCAAGACUGCAAGGAAGACAAUCACCUCCAAAGGUCACAUGGUUUCUAAAGAAAAACUACAACUAGUUAAGUCCCAAGUUAAAUAUCUGGGUCAUCUGAUUUCAGAAACAGAGCUGCAUUUGGAUCCUGAACAACUACAAGGUGUUCUACAAUUCCGUAAGCCCAAAGUAAAAUAACAACUUUGAAGGCUUUUUGGAUUCACUGGGUGGGAUACUGCCAUUAACUGGAUACCAAACUUCUCUUUGACUGUCUGAUCCCUGCAUGUCCUACUUAAAACCUCUCGACCUGAUACCAUUAUAUGGAAAAAAUCUGAAGAUACUGGUUUUUUAAACUUAAAUGAAGGGCUUUUAAAUACCCCUGCCCUAGACACCCUAAUUAUCAACUUUGUUUUCCUUUUUGUUUAUGAAUAGAAAGGAAAUGCCUUGGACAUCCUAACCCAGAAACAUGAAUUUCAGCACCACCCCCUUGGAGAUUACAGCCGGCAACUACAGCCAGUAGUAGCUUGAGAAUUACUCUCUUGUUUGCAAGCAAUUCCAGCUACCACCCUAUUAAUUAACUUCCACUAAAUAAAUUAUCAUGGAAUCUCCCUUAAGCAUUUUUGUUCCCCACACUACGGAAUCUCUUCUAAAUUCACAUCACACCCAGCAUUUCUCUGCCAGUCACCUUCUGUCUUAUGAACUGCUUUUACAAGCUUCUCCUCACACGACUCUUUUUCAAUGUAAUAAUCUCAACCCUGCUACCCUUUUGCCUCCUCCUUUUGGUGAGAGCCCCAACCGCUACCCCAUGACUAUUGGACACUUUCUGACUCUUCAGAAAGAUUUAGAAGAAACUCCACUAGAUAAUUCUGAACUAUUAUGGUUUACAGAUGAACGAUAUUUAAAAGAUGACAGUGGUGAAUACUAUACAGGUUAUGCAGUACUACUUCCUUUGAAGUCAUUGAAGAUGCUCCCUUACCUAUGGCUACUUCUGCCCAACAGACAGAACUUUUUGCUGUUGCUCAGCUUUGCCUCCUUGCUAAAAGAAAAUGUACAUAUAUAUAUAAAUAUAUGUAUAUAUAAAAUAAAUAUAUAAAAUAUGUUUUUUAUAUAUAAUAUAUAUACACACAUAAUAUAUAUAUACACACACAGACAGUAGAUAGGCUUUUGGGGUUGCUCAGGAUUGUGGAAUGCUCUGGAAAUAAAGGAGUUUCCUCACUUCCACUAGGGAUCAAAUUAAAAAUGGAUUCUAUGUACAGGACUUCCUGAAUACCAUCCAGGUCCCAGACGCCUGGGCUAUUACCAGAACUCCAGACAUUCCAGGUUAGAAUCUAUGGAAGCUAGAAGAAACAACUUUGUUAAUAAUGCUGUAAAGAAUGAUGCUAUUAAAGUUUGAUUUAAUCAAAUCUCUAUUGUGACCCCACUAAAAGAGCUCUCAAAAGAUGACUGAAAAAUAAUUACGAAAGACUCACAGAAUGGCCACCAGAAGCUGAAAAGGAAAGAUCAUUGCUGCUGGUUUGAUGACAAAAAAGAACUAUGGUUUGAACCUGAUAGUAAAUUAGUUUUCCCAAAUUUAGUAAUAUACUCAUUGUUAACCAAAGAACAUAAUUUGACUCACUAGGCAAUUAACAAAUUAAUUUCUUUUAAAAAAACAGUAUUGGUGGGGUGACAUUUAAAAAGCUGUGAAACAUGCCUGUUUGCCUUGCACCACCUGCCCUAAGUUUAAUCUAGGAAAACCCAUAUGUACCAAUCCUGGACAUUUCAGUUGACCUAAUGGGCCUUUCAAGGUUUGGCAAAUGGAUUUCACCCAACUACCUCUUCCCUCGGGCAUAUAUUUAUAUACACCAGUAAUGGUUUGCAUGUUCUCCCAUUGUGUAGAGGCUUUUUCCUGUAGAUAAGCCAAUGCUUCAGUUAUGGCCAAAAUUCCUCCGGAACAAAUUAUUCCACCCAGGGAACUCCUCUUGAACUACAAAGUGAUUGGAGAUCCUGUUUUCCUGGCCAUGUAAUAAAACAAGUGUGUUCAGUUUGGACAACUUCAUAGCAUUUCCAUUGUGCCUACUAUCCCCAAUCUUCUGGCCCAGUAGGAUGAACAAAUGGAACUCUACAAACCCAGUUGGAAAGAUUUAUGGAAACUCUACACCUUCCUUGGCCUAAAGUUCUUUCUUUGGUAUUGUUAAAUGUAAAGGCCACUUUUUGGGGGGGCUCAUAAACUUUCACCUUUUUAAACUGUCACAGGCCAUCCUAUGCACUUAGUUCCUUCUGCUUUUGACAAUCAAUGAAAGGAGACAUACUUCAAUAUUGUAAAGGCAUUAUUAAAGCAAUGAAUGGCAAUCAUACUUUGAUAGAACCUCUUUUCACAGCACAGUCUCAGGAAACAAAGACCUAAAAUACCAGAAUCUGCAGCCUGGCAACUUGGUCUCCUGGAAAAGACACCUACAUAAGAAUUCUCUCCAGCCUCACCGGAAGGCCCAUAACCAGUCCUUCUCACCAAUCUCUGUGCUGCCAAACUAAAGGGCAUUGACUCCUGGAUCCACAUCUCUCAUUUUAAAAGAUUUCUACUUCUCACUGAACCAGCACCCAAACAGGGAAUUUAAAUUCGCUUCAUCAAUGAGAUAAAGCAGAUUCUAUCUGUAGUGGACUGUGGACUAGAGGUCCUCAGAAUCUUGAAGGACAGAGGCCUCUCUCAGUCUUUGAGUGCCCUGAUUCAAUCUAAUGAUUGCCGCCCACUGCAGCUCGAUCCAGUCCACGUUUCCUGGUGAGUCAGAGGUCUGAGCUGAGUAGAGUGGUCCCCAGUUCUUAGGAACGGUUUAAUGGGCUUAAGAGGCUGUGAUACUGAGGAUCCAAUAUCUUGGGUAACACCAGUCCUCUGCUUUUCAUUCUUAAUUUCAUCACAAAAAUCAGGGUGAAACUCAAAAAGAUCUAGGAAUGACUGUUCUAGGGAAUGACUGUUCUAGGGAAACACGUUAGGUCCCAGUGGCUUUAGCUAUAGAGUCAACUGUAGAGCCAAUCAUUUAGGAUAGGUUUCUAACUAUUGUUUCUAAGUGAUUGGCUGAACAAUAUAUGACCCAGACAUAAAAUAUGCUGGGUAAAAUCUAUUGUCCAUUUUGUUUCUUUUGGGAAGUUCAUCCUAAGUACUCAAGUUAACUUCAGAAGAUCAAUGAUUCACACAUGGCCAACUGUGCCCUGGGGGGACACUUGGCAGUGUCUGGAGGAAGCUGUUUUUUGGUUGUCACAACUAGGGGGAGAUGUUACCGGUAUUUAGUGGGUAGAGGCUGAGAUGCUACUAAAUAACCUAUUAGGUUGGUGCAAAACUUAUUGCGGUUUUUACCAUUACAUUCAAUGGCAAAAUCACAAUUACUGUUGCACCAACAUAAUAUAAUACACAGGACAACCCAUAACAAUAAAUUUUCUAGCCCUAAAUGUUGUUAAUACCAACCUUAAAUAAGGUAGUCCAUCUGCAAUCAUGUGUUACACUCCCUCUCAGUCUUCUAUUUUCUCUCAUGUGUGCUGGGUAAGCUGGGUGUUUACAAUUAUUUCUACUACUUCCUAGUUAAGGUUUUCAUUUUUCUUUGUUAUUUGGAGAAACAGAUAAGUUUCAAAAUUGGCAUGAUAAUUUUUCUCUGGUACAGUUAGGUAAUUUAAAAGGACUAUUACCUAAGCAAGUGGGAGCAGGUUUUACUUAGCUGCUUCCCGACUCCUUUUAAAGUAAGUUUCUAAGUACUGCGAUUAAUGUUUACAAGGUGCUGCUCAGUUAUUUUUUAUUAUUAUUAUUUUUUAAAGAUUCAACACUGUGUAAGAUUUUUGCUGCUUUACGGGAGCUCACAAUCUAGUAUUGGAAUUGGGAAAAACAUUCAAAUUACUUUAGUACAAGGGAGCACCUCUCAUGUAUAAUAAGUUGCUGCUGGGACCCAGAAAGAUAAUACCCCCAAAUAUGCUGCUUUGUACUUCAAACUGAGAGCGUCUGGGCAGCAUUGCAUGUAGGAAAGGGCUUUCUCUGAAGUUGCUCCACCUGCCUUAAAGGCUGGGUCCUCCAGAAGCUCAACUGUUGUGAAUCCCUUUCCCAGAGAGCUCAUCAACCAGGAGGGAGGAUGACACAUGACAGGAAGAAAGAGCAGAGUUGACGCCACACCAGAGCCCAGACAGACUUUGUCCCAUGCUGUGGUUGGUUCUUUGGGCCCAUUCAUCUCCCCUAAAAAGUAUUUAUUCUUCCUCUACAAUUGCCUUCAUUUCCCACUUCCUUUUCCCCUAUGAAGAAGGCCUAUAAGCUUCGAAAUCUCAUUGGGUUAUUGGGUCCUCACCCUCCUGAGUUGCUCCCAUGCAUGUGAUGUAUUUAUAUGCCUUUUCUCCUGUUAAUCUGUCUGUUGUCUGUUUAUUUCUCAAAUACUGAACCCCCAUAGAGGAGAGAAUUCUCUUCCCUUAUGUCACCUACUCCUGGGGCGAAUGAACACUGCUGGACAAACAUAACUACUCUCAAGGGCCACUCCCAGCUUGCCAUUUUCCUCUGGUGGCAUCUCUAGGACCACAGACUUCUUCAGUGCUUUUAGAAGCUAACAGGCAACUGCCUGUGGUGAGGCUGCCAGCUUUAAGCAUUCAGCUUCCCCUGUGCAAAGACAGCGAGGAGAAAAACGCAGCUCAGCAAGGCUGAGAGGGCAUGAAAUUGUGUUAAGCAACAUUCAUGACAAUGACUGGAUUUGCUAUUUUAAAGUAAGUGACUAAAUGUUUUUUUUUUUUUUUUUUUUUUUUGAAAUUGUAAUUUUCCUGUGCUGUUAAGUGUAAAGGUGACCGCUCUGUGGUGGGCUCUCGGCAGUCUGUGCUCGACAGCUAAUCAGGUUGAUUCAUUUGGUGAGGUAGGCAGUAAGCUCAGUGAUAAAGCGGAAUUGAGUUCUUACCUCUCUGAGAUAUAACACCACACAUUUUUUUUUUCUUUCUGCUUUUUGAAGGAAAGAAAUAGUCAUGCAGACUUUUCAGAAGGACAUUGUGAAGACACAACGAGGUUUUAUAUGUGUAGCAGGGAACAUAAUCAUCCGUGGAACAAAACUGGCUCCCUUAUUGAGUUUGCUAGCAGCCUUUCAAUAAAUGAUUUAGGCAGCUAUCACUAAUGGGAGCUGGAGGUUUUGGUAGGGACCAUCCUGGGCUUAUUUUAGCUCAAUCUCAGGGCUUCUGAAGUGUAAAAUGCACAUUUACCUGCUGCUAAUUACAUCAGAGCUGACCAGAGGCAAGUUAGCAAUGGCUCAGUAUUACCCAAUUUCCCCACAGGAUGGCAUCCACCAGUUAAAAACAAAGUUUAUAGUAUUAGCAGAAUUCAUAAAAAUAGAGAUGGAUUAAAUUUUCUAUUAGACUUUGCAAUGUUUAGGGUUUAUUUUGAUACACACUCUAACUUGAUCAUAGUGAGCUAGGGCGGUGUGAGUGCUUGCCAGGAGCUGGCACAGAUGCAGAGAUGGAAUUUGCGGUAUGUACAAAGGGAGAAAAGGACUCAUGCUAAGAAUGGAGUUGCUACAAAUAAAGCUUAGCUUCUAAGAUCCCCCGAUCACCAGAGGGCCAUUUACGGAACUAAUUUUUUUCCUCCAUCAGAAGAUUAGCAAGUUUCAAGAGAUCAAAUCAGAACAAGCAGAGCCUCAUGCCAAAUUAAGGAAAAGCACAAGAAGAUUUUGGGUUCUGGUUUGAUGAAAACAGUGUUCUAAUAUUUCUAAUAUUUUAUAGCUGGAGAAUAAUAACAAGUACAGUGUUUUAGCUACAUGAACAUAGAAAUCACAUAGGCUAAUCCCGAAUGUUGCAAAAAAAGUUCCAAAGAGAAUGAGUAAUUUUUCCAAGCCAGGACCAGAACGAAAGCAGUAGUUGCUCCAUUAUUCCUAUUUAGGGAGGAGUUAGCCAGUGGGAAGGUGAAUGAAGAAGCUUGGUUUGUGUGCCUAGCAAAAAUAUUUUCAAAAUUAUGUUUAUGUUGCAGACCCAUAUAAAUAGCAAAGUUUUCUAAAGAUAAUUUAUUACUCUGAAAGAUGGAGAAAUGUUAAUUGUUCACAUUAAAGGAUGUUGUUAUUAUUAAAAACACUUCGGGCAGUUUAACAGGGUGGUAGAAAUUGGGUAGAGGCACUAAUACUCCCUCAGGCUGCUCUGGGAAUAGAAGGAUCUCAAUCUUCUGACCCUUCCUGAGAUCCUGCCCAACUGUGGGAUGUUUCCCUGCACCGCUUCCUGUCCCAUCCAGGGAAGAACUGCUGUGUUCUCUGGAGAUUAUCUCCCUUUGUCCACCUUUUGAGACUCUUUCUGUGAGCCUUCUGUCCUGUCCAUCAAAUCUUGGAGGCCUUUUAAUGGCUAAGCCUGUCAAGCACACUUCUGCAUGACCUUGGAAAGGACACUUAAGUACUCUUGGGGGAAUGAGUCCCUCAUUAGGGAAAGUAAAAUCACAGUUCGUUUUUUUCCACUACCAACUGCCAAUUCUUUUCAGUUACAGUGUCUGUGAGUUUCACUAUUGCGUGUGGACAAAUGCACCUCACUUUGUGUUCAUGUACGUUAGAGGCAUCUACUGUAAAGCUUCUAGAAGGCGAGGAUGCUGUUUGCUCACGUAGGUCUUGCAAGUGUAGGCAAUUUAUUUUUAAAAAUGCAAAACAAACAAACAGAAAGAAACUCCUAAUUAUAGCAUCUUGCAUGUGAAGAAUCCUUAGGCACUACUCCCAGUUGCAGACACAGCAGACUGCAUCUGGCUUAUUAAGGAAGACACUUCUGGGGGACUUGCUUAAAAUAGUGAUAACUACAACCCAUCCAUGGGAAUGCUGAUUUACGCUGGGCCUGAGAAUCUGCAUUUUAUCCUGUCCCUCCCUGAACUCGGUAAUUUUGAAAGGUGUAGGUCAACUGAAUCUUAAACCAAUCCAGGGACCCUCUGUGCAUCUGCAACCACAUUGACGGUGACAACAUUUAAAUUUACCUGUCCUAUUUCUUGAUUGGAAACUGUCAAAAUCUUUCUAUACAUGCAUGUCUGUCCUAUUUGUGUAUUUCAGUACUGGCCAAAGGGAUCUGUGAACAUAGUGUGUUUUCAAUCACUCUAGAGUCCAGUGUUGAAGAAUGUUGAAAAAUAUUAUUAUGUGUUGCCAAAGCACAGAAACCCCAAAUCUUUUCAGCUGCCAACAUUUGUGUAUUUUUAAAAGAGCAUUUCUACCCAUGUUUUGCAAGUGGUAUAUGUCACAUCCAAGCAGACCCUGGACAUGUCUUAGGUGUGAUUAUUGAUAAAGAGUGAAAUCUCCUCAGGCCAUGGUGGCAAUGCCUUCAUCUUCCAGAGCCCAGGAGUUCUUUGAUGACAUUCUGUUUGACAAAGAGGCAGGGGGAAAAAGCGUCCCAGUCUUUUUUCUUUUGCUUUUUUCUUUGAUAUGAUCAGUAUGUAAAACCCCAGGCUUGAAAAGGACUUUGACAUCUUUGUUAGUAAACAAACAGAGUGGUUAUAAUGCUUUUGACAAGAGGGUAGGGAGGACUGUGCUCUGGCAGGCUUUCUCCUUUUCUCCCGCUUCUCCUCCUCUAACUUGACAAGCGGAUUGCAGAGGCCAGUGAAAACACUCGUGUGUCUUUCAGGUUGAGAGCAUUUGUUAGGCAUCUGUGAGGGUUGCUUUCUUGCUGUUGGGUGUCAAGUCACGCAAUAUGAAAAGAGGGAGUCUUCGACUGCUCAGCCAUUCUUUCCCGUGAAAGGAGCACUGAUGAGCUAGCCAGUGGCUCAAUUAAAAACUGAAGGAAGCAUUCACCGUGCGGGACACCAGCUUACUUUACUGACUGUGGUGUUAUUAGUGAGACUGACAGGGGCAGCCGGGAGGGGCUGCAGUGGCUGAGAGGAAAGGGAGGCAGAGUUCUUGUUUCCUCUUGUUUUCUCACUGUUGCUGGCAAGUUGUUGAUCUUGAAAAUGAGCAACCUCCUCACAGCCUAUUUUCCAGACUUUGUUAAUAUUUAAAAUGAUUUUGAGAGAAAUGCACGAAAUGAAACAUGUCAUAAUAUGUAAAGUCAUACAGAUUUCACAACUUACCUCCAGCCUACGCAUUUUAGUUGUUCUAUUCAGGGUUUACUGCUCAAAACCCCCAGGUCCUUAAACUUCUGCAACUGUUGCCUUUGGUUACUUCUUGGUGUUCUCAGGAAGUACCUUACACUUGCUCGUUAACAGAUUCCAUCACAGCUGAACACCACGGCACCCACCUUUUCGGCAGAGCCUUUGCCUCCUUAGUGGGACAUCAGUGUCAGCCUCGUGUUCUGUCACUGCUUCCAGGCAUUGGCAUUGACUUACUCAUGGGUCUGUCCUAUCCAAAGUCAGGAGAAUGUCUUUUUCUCCUUAUUUUGAACCAUACUUUUGUGCUGGGGACACAGUGGGCAGUUUGGCCCAUGUUUCACAAAGCCCCUGUUGAAACCAGAUUUGUCAUCAUUUCCCUUGGGACGGAGGCUCCUGAUUCUUCCAAGACCCCCUUGGCUUUGCCCAAUGGGUCUUUCAGCCACAGCAGUUGAGACUUGACAGAAAAAAAUAUGAAAUUCCAGGCAAUGAAAACCCAAAUGAAAGGAGAACCAGAAUCUUCUCGUACAGGCAGAACUCAUUAUUAUGACUUGUCAAUGUUACAAAGACAUUAUUAAUAGUUGUCUUUGUAACAUUUGAGGUUUCAGGAUGGCAGAAGAGAACUGUAAAUCUUGUCCUCUCAACCUAGGUCUGUUAGCCACUGCCUUGUAGUUUUUGGCCUCCUGUCAAUUCAGACUUGAGAGAAGAGACCAGUGGUGACAAAUAUACAUUUCCUCAGUUCACAGGAAAUAGAUACAAGACUGUUUAAAGAACAUAGACAAUCGGUAGCUUCCAUGAGUCUGUUAGCUUUUGCUGCAUAGCAAGCCAGCCUGAAAUUAAUGUCUUAACUAAAAAAGUAUUUACUUAUGGUUUUUUUGCAGGUCAACAACUUGGGUUGGCUCAGCAGGGAGGUUCUUCUAAUCUUAGCUGGGUGCACACAGGUGUAUGUGAUCAGCUGCUGGGUUAUCUGGGGACUGACUCAUCUAGAAUAACUUCUGCUGCCGUGGCUCAUUUCUGCUCCAGGUGGUCUCUCAUGCCCCAGUGAGCUUACCAGUGUUUUGUUUGUUUGUUUGUUUUGUUUUUUUCUCCCAUGGUGUCUGGUUAGGAUUCUAAAAGAAACUGAGGAAGUACACAAGACUUCCUGAGGCCUAGGCCUGGAAUUGACACCUCAUUACUUCUGCUGCAUGCUAUCGGCCAAAGCAGAUCUGUAGUCUGGUACAAACACAUGAGGAGGAGAAACUGGUUCAAUUACUUUUAUUUUAUUAUUAUUAUUAAUUAUUAUUAUUUUUUGGUGCAGUCUUGCUCUGUUGGCC